rnacentral:sRNA from 1 species
AAAUUAGAAAAUAAAACCGAAGACAGCGGGUGCGAAAGCUUAAUUUCCCGCCGAGGUACAAUAUAAAAGAUUGGCCUCGCUUUUUGCGGGGCUUUUUUAU